UUUUGAUUGUGGCCAAGAGAUGGGAUGCAGGGAGUGGGGCUGGGUGGUCAUCCAAGAUCCUUCUGCCCCUUGCUCAGCAACAAACUACUUGUGGCAUUAACAGUGGCCAUGAGGUCCUUCAGUUUUCUCUGCAACUAGGAGAAACCCUGCUGCAUGCCUGCAUUAGAACUUUGUUGGUGUACUGCAUAUGUAAUCAACCUCUCUGAAAGAACUCUGUGCAAUAAACCUGCUAUUGACACCUAUGUUGAGCCUGCAUCAAGAUACAAAGACCACACAAAUAGAGAUAGCUUGCAUGAAAGCACUAUGCAAAGACCUAUACUCAACUUGUCUUUAUUUCUUUCAUGAUUGCAUGAGUUAAGCCAGCAGGACUGACUGCUACAAUUAGUUGGCUUGGAGAAGUUCACUUUUCCUUGGUGCCUAAAUAAUAAUCUUCUACUGUCACACAUCUUCUAACAUCAUGACUGAUCUGCACCUCCUUGGAACCAUCAAGACAAAAAAAUGCAUGAGAUUCUUCACAUUUUUGUUUCUAUACAAGUAUCUCCUACCAGAUCGUUAAGACUUCCAUAUUAAUGAUGAAAGAAAUGCUUCUCCAAGAAGUCAGCUUAUGGGGCUUCUCUUUCUUUGGACACACACUCAAAGACUGUGUGAAAGACUUGACUUUGGAAAGCAUCCUGUGUUUGAAGGAGAAGAAAGAUGGCCAGCUGCAUGCCUUUCCCUGUCUAGAGUCUGCUGUCACCAGCUGAUCGGUUAGAAGUCACCUGCAGCAAAUACAUCUUGUUGCACUUCUGCUGUACGUAUUUCAUUUUUAAGUGGCCCUUCUUCUCUCCCUUGGCAGACUGCCGUCAAGGCAGGGCCAAACGCAGCCUUCUUGCAAAGGAUGGAAAGAAGUGCUGAGCAACUUCCAAGUUGAAAUCUUGAAAAUUAAGGAGAAGUAUCCAUAAUGCUGAAUUCAUGCAGAGAUCUGUUUAGAGAGCCUGCUCAUCCCAAGGCUUUUGAGCAGCUAGAAUGCUUUAGCUGUCUUCCACGCAGUGCAGAAUUUUUCUU